UUGACUUGUAAAUGAUAAUUGUUAUUAUUAUCGCGACUGAUCGCGAGAUCAGCUGUUAACCUCAAGAGACUUACAGGCCUCUUCUGGUUAUCUCCUCAUCAGGCUAAUCACGGUUAUUGACCCGGCUCUUGCCGGGUCUUUUUUUA
rnacentral:sRNA from 1 species